GACGAACGCUGGCGGCGUGCUUAACACAUGCAAGUCGAACGGAAAGGCCUCUUUCGGGGGGUACUCGAGUGGCGAACGGGUGAGUAACACGUGAGUAACCUGCCCUUGACUUUGGGAUAACUUCAGGAAACUGGGGCUAAUACCGGAUAGGAGCUCCUGCUGCAUGGUGGGGGUUGGAAAGUUUCGGCGGUUGGGGAUGGACUCGCGGCUUAUCAGCUUGUUGGUGGGGUAGUGGCUUACCAAGGCUUUGACGGGUAGCCGGCCUGAGAGGGUGACCGGCCACAUUGGGACUGAGAUACGGCCCAGACUCCUACGGGAGGCAGCAGUGGGGAAUAUUGCACAAUGGGUGGAAGCCUGAUGCAGAAACGCCGUGGGCGGGAUGACGGCCUUCGGGUUGUAAACCGCUUUCGCUCAUGACGAAGCUUUGUGUGACGGUAGUGGGUAAAGAAGCACCGGCUAACUACGUG
rnacentral:rRNA from 1 species